rnacentral:rRNA from 1 species
UGGGGAAUAUUGCACAAUGGGCGAAAGCCUGAUGCAGCAACGCCGCGUGAGUGAUGAAGGUCUUCGGAUUGUAAAGCUCUGUCUUUUGGGACGAUAAUGACGGUACCAAAGGAGGAAGCCACGGCUAACUACGUGCCAGCAGCCGCGGUAAUACGUAGGUGGCGAGCGUUGUCCGGAUUUACUGGGCGUAAAGGGUGCGUAGGCGGAUGUUUAAGUGAGAUGUGAAAUACCCGGGCUUAACUUGGGUGCUGCAUUUCAAACUGGAUAUCUAGAGUGCAGGAGAGGAGAAUGGAAUUCCUAGUGUAGCGGUGAAAUGCGUAGAGAUUAGGAAGAACACCAGUGGCGAAGGCGAUUCUCUGGACUGUAACUGACGCUGAGGCACGAAAGCGUGGGUAGCAAACAGGAUUAGAUACCCUGGUAGUCCACGCCGUAAACGAUGAGUACUAGGUGUAGGAGGUAUCGACCCCUUCUGUGCCGCAGU